rnacentral:RNase_P_RNA from 1 species
AGAGCAGGACGAAUGGCCGCUGCUUUGCUUUUCAGCAAAGGGGAGGAAAGUCCGGGCUCCGCAGGACAGGGUGCUGGGUAACGCCCAGUCCCGGUGACGGGCAGGAAAGUGCCACAGAAAGGAGACCGCCCCCGCACUCAGUUUUCGGGGCAGAAGACCGUAUCAAGAAGGUUUGGAGGGAAUCCAAGAAUUUCGUGCGGGGGUAAGGGUGAAAGGGUGAGGUAAGAGCUCACCAGUCCCGUCGGUGACGGCGGGAGCUAGGUAAACCCCACCCGGAGCAAGACCAAAUAAGGGAACGUUGGAGGGUGGUCCGCCCGAGUUCCCGGGUAGGUCGCUUGAUCUCGAUGGUAACAUGGAGACUAGAUGAAUGGUCAUUGUCCCUAAACAGGUGACUGCUUAGGGAAACAGAACCCGGCUUACGGCCUGCUCUGACA